UUAUCGUACAACCGAGGUGCGGAGGGCUGUCGCUGACUUUUGNCGUGCACGCCCAAAGUGCUCUCAAACAAUAUCCAUCUCACCCAUUUGUGCAUCAUCGCGUGGGUCCUGCUUUUUGGCUUGUCCCAAGGAGGGGGGCUCGCGUUUUCACACAAACACCCUUUUAAUGCAGUGUANAAUGUUCUUUUGCGAUGACUCGCAAUAAAUACAACUUUCAACAACGGAUCUCUUGGCUCUCGCAUCGAUGAANAACGCAGCGAAAUGCGAUACGUAAUGUGAAUUGCAGAAUUCAGUGAAUCAUCGAAUCUUUGAACGCACCUUGCGCCCCUUGGCAUUCCGAGGGGCACACCCGUUUGAGUGUCGUGACAUUCUCAAAAAGAACCCUUCUUGGUCUUGCGAUCGGGAAAGGCUUUUUUUUGGACUUUGGAGGUUAUUGCUGGUCCCCCCUUGAUAGCCAGCUCCUCUUAAAUGAAUUAGUAGGGACCGCUUUGCUGACCCUAGACGUGAUAAGAUGUUUCUGCGUCUUG
rnacentral:misc_RNA from 1 species